CAGAUAAAAAAAAAUUUAAUUUAAUAAACUUCUAGAAGAAAAAAUGCAAAAAAUUUUUGAUUGCGGUCUCGGGCUGGUUGACGUCUGGGGUUACUGUUUGCCGGGCGUGUCACAGACGAGAUUAUCAACACACUUUCACUCAGAAAUACAAAGUAUUUUUUUUCGACUUUUCAAGAUUAUGUGGACCUGGUGUCUUUGUCGGAUUGUCAAUAUCGGGUAAUUCCCUGACAACCCUCCCAUACAAAGAUGUCCUUACAUAUACAUCCUAUCAGUCUGUAAACGACUUCGAUUGUUUCAUUUGAUUAAGAGUAGUAUUUGUGGUCAAUUUCGUGUCGUCGUGCAAUCGAUUGUCUAACACGCCCGGUCGACAGUGCCCCACCCAAACCGAUCCACGCAAUCUUAACCUCCGAGCAGCCGGAUUACAAGAGCGCGCCGCUGCUCCCGGUCGAAGUAAACGUAGAAAAUAUUUGUAUUUAACUACCAGUUUUAAUUCGUGAUUAACAUUGUUUAAAAUA